rnacentral:SRP_RNA from 1 species
GCCGGGUGUGGUGGCUCACGCCUGUAAUCUCAGCACUUUGGGAGGCCGAGGCGGGUGGAUCACCUGAGGUCAGGAGUUUGAGAGCAGCCUGACCAACAUGGAGAAACCCCGUCUCUA